UCUUUAUCACUCACCCUCUCUUUCUUCUCUCUCCUCUCUCUCUCUCUCUCUUUCUCUCAGCAGUCAAAUUAAAGAAAGAAGCGAACCAAUUGAAAAUCCACUCUUACUGUGCUCUUCACCUUUCCCCUAUUUUCCCUCUCUCUCUCUCUCUCUGUCUCUUUAACAAGGCUUUGCUCCCCCCUUCAGAUUCCCUCUCUUCCAUUCUAGUCCUGCAACUCGCAAAUCUCUCUCUGUCUGCUUUCCCAACUUCGGCAUCACGAAACAAACCCUAGAAAAAACUCAUAGAGUUUUACGCCAAAAAUAUUCUCUCUGCCUAAGGAAUUCUACUGCAAGAUUUUCUUAGCUGGGUUUUCCUUCUUUUGGGUAAAAUCUCUUACUCCCCCGAUUUCCCAUUUUCAUGCACCAGAUUUGAGUGGCUGAAUUGUUUAUUCGCUGCUAAUUUUUAUUUUUAUUUUUUAUUUUUUUCGUUUCUUAAUGAUUUAAAUACAUAGACUUGCGCUUUUUCUGUUAAUUUUUUCUUUUUAUUGUUGUGUUUUUUUUUUUUUUUUUUGGGGUUUUUGGGGGUUUUGUUGUUAGCUUAGGCUUGAUCCAAAAUUGUGUACAUAAAUAUAUGUACAUGGAUAUUGAUUUCUGGCAUUUGGGUUAGCGCAAUCCCGCCAUGGUUGCUUUGUUUGGAGGAUAGUGGAGGACAUAGUUGGGAGGAAGGCUUUCUUGGAUUUUCACUGAGGAUUUGAAGUGGGUAUGGUGGGUAAGGACGAUGGCUCUCGAAAGAUGUUCUGGCGUUCUGCCUCGUGGUCCGCUUCCCGGACCUCUCCACACAUUCCUGAGACUGAAGACAAAGAACAUGUAGAUCCAAUUGGUAGUGUUGGAAACAGUAAUGGGUCGAAACCUCGGUUUCCAGCUCCCUUAACCCCGCGUUCCCAGCAGAAUUGUAAGGCUAGGUCCUGUUUACCCCCCUUGCAGCCACUGUCAAUUGCUCGCCGGAGCUUGGAAGAGUGGCCGAAGGCGGGUUCCGACGAUAUCGGUGAGUGGCCACAACCUCCUACUCCUAGCGGGAGAGGUGGUGGGGAAAGGUUGAAGCUUGAUUUGUCAUCAAUACAACGAAACCCUGAUAAGAAUGGUGGGCUUGUGAGGAGGGACAAGAUUGCUUUCUUUGAUAAAGAGUGUUCGAAAGUGGCUGAACAUAUAUAUCUUGGUGGAGAUGCUGUUGCCAAGGAUAGGGAAAUACUUAAGCAGAAUGGAAUUACCCAUAUACUGAACUGUGUGGGUUUUGUUUGUCCAGAGUAUUUCAGAGCUGAUUUCGUGUAUAGAACUCUAUGGCUCCAAGAUAGUCCGUCAGAGGAUAUUACUAGUAUUUUGUAUGAUGUGUUUGAUUACUUUGAAGAUGUUAGGGAACAAGGUGGAAGGGUCUUUGUUCAUUGUUGCCAAGGGGUGUCUCGGUCCACAUCUCUGGUGAUUGCAUAUCUUAUGUGGAGAGAAGGGCAGAGCUUUGAUGAUGCAUUUCAGUAUGUGAAAGCAGCAAGAGGUAUAGCUGAUCCAAAUAUGGGUUUUGCUUGCCAGUUGUUGCAGUGCCAGAAAAGGGUCCAUGCAUUUCCUCUCAGCCCGAGUUCGUUAUUGAGGAUGUAUAGAAUUGCCUCACAUUCGCCUUAUGAUCCUUUACAUCUUGUUCCAAAAAUGUUGAAUGAUCCUUCACCCACUGCUCUCGAUUCUAGGGGUGCCUUUAUCAUUCAUAUUCCUUCUGCAAUAUAUGUUUGGAUUGGGAAGAAAUGCGAACCCAUCAUGGAAAGGGAUGCUAGAGGGGCUGUUUGUCAGAUUGUACGCUAUGAAAGAGUGCAAGGGCCAACAAUAAUAAUCAAGGAAGGGGAAGAACCUCCUUACUUUUGGGAUGCUUUUUCAAACCUACUACCAUUGAUGGCUAAAUCUGGAAAUGGAGUGAAGGUUGGGGAAUCUACGAGCAAGCCUUGCCCUGGAGAAAGGAAAGUUGACCUUUAUAAUGUUGAUUUUGAAAUUUUCCAGAAAGCGAUUAUGGGGGGUUUCGUACCUCCUUUUGCAUCAUCAGAAAAUGAACAUGAAACCCACCUUCCGGCUAGGGAGAGCAGUUGGAGUGUUCUAAGGCGUAAGUUUGCUUCUGGCAAUAUGAAGGAAUUUGUCUCAGCACCCAGAAUAUCACUCUCCCGGGUAUAUUCGGACUCUAUGAUGCUAGUACAUUCUUCUAAAUAUUCACCAUCAGCUUCGUCUUCGUCCUCCUCCUCUUCACCUCCGUAUCUCUCUCCGGAUUCCAUCACUUCUGAGCCUAGUGAGAGUUCUAAGUAUUUUCCUGAAUCUUCUUUGGAUUCUCCUUCAGCAGCUUCUCCUUCGGCAGCUUCAUGUCCUCUACCUAAAUCUUCAAUGCUAUCUAACUUUUCAAACUUAUCUCUGCUCUCACCCAGAGCAUCAUCUGGACCCAUAUCUAAAGGUCCUGAAAUUCUUGGUUCCAGUUAUGCUUCAAAGCCUUUUUUGCAAUCAUCAUCAUUGUCAUCUAAAAAGUCUUCGCCAUCCCUCGCCGAGAGGAGAGGUAGCUUGUCAAAAUGUCUCAAGUUACCAGUGAUGACUGAUAAUGUGAGGGUCACAAAUGGCCCAUCAAGUUUUCUUGCCAGUCAAGAUGAUGAUGCUAGUGUCAAAGGAAGUAGAAGCUCUAUAAGUCUAGAUAAUAGUUGCAAUGGCUUAGAGACAGAGGAUGGAGUCAAAAAUGGGGAAAAAGGUUCAACAGAGCAGUGCAAGAUAUUUCCUGCUAGGGAACCUGAUGUGGACUUAUUCCAGAAGGAAACUCACAUUGUCAAACAUUGUGAUCAAGCUUGGGGAGAAGGGCCACAAUCCUCUGCUUUAAAUGGGAUUGUGGAAAGUGAUUUUGCAAGAUAUGAUCUUGUUGAUCCUUUAGUACUUCGCUGGCCCAGUUUAGAAAGGAUUGCAACUUUUGGUGCAAAUAACCUGGAUUCUGAUGCUGCUUUUGCCAUUUUGUCUCCAAAUACAGGUUUUGGCAAAAGGGAGGACAGGAUUUUGUAUUUUUGGGUGGGAAGAUCUUUUGACAAUGGUAAAUUUCGAAUUCGGUUAGAUAGUGACAAAGAUUUAGAUGGAGUAGGAGACAUUGACUGGGAUCAAGUUAGUUCUGAUGUUCUUAACCGAAUGGGUCUGCCAAAGGACACAGUCAUCAUGAUUGUUAAGCAAGACAAAGAGCCGACAGAAUUUCUGGAGUUAUUAAGCCUGUUGUAGCCCCAAUACAAACACAGGAGAGGUUCUGUAACCAAAUAAGCUUUAAUCGAUAUCUGAAUUUGAAGUGCAGACUUUCUUAAGGCCUCAACGUGAAUUUAGCUGGAAAAAGAGCUGUGAGUGGCUUCAGGAGUUCAAGUGCUUUUUGUGGCUGAAUCAAUUGGUUGUACAGUGCUGCUGUUACUGAAAAUCCAUCCAUGUCCCUCUUUCCAAGUGAAAGAGACUCCAAGACUCAAUUUGUAUAUUCACUGAUAUUUAGAAAAUUAAAAUCCUGACUUCCUUUUCAUGCUGCAAAGCAGAAUGGGAAUUAACCCUCUCUCACAAUGUCAAUAUUCUUUAACCUCUGAUUGCCUUUUUUCACUUAUAAGAUAUUUUAUAUACAUAUUUUCUUUC